rnacentral:rRNA from 1 species
GUCGUGGGGCAGCAGAAGUAGCAAUACUUGCUGGCGACCGGCAAACGGGUGCGGAACACGUACACAACCUUCCUUCAAGCGGGGAAUAGCCCAGAGAAAUUUGGAUUAAUACCCCAUAAUAUAUAGUGUAGGCAUCUACAAAAUAUUAAAGCUUCGGCACUUGAUGAUGGGUGUGCGUAUGAUUAGGUAGUUGGUGAGGUAACGGCUCACCAAGCCUACGAUCAUUAGCUGAUGUGAGAGCAUGAUCAGCCACACGGGCACUGAGACACGGGCCCGACUCCUACGGGAGGCAGCAGUAAGGAAUAUUGGACAAUGGGCGAAAGCCUGAUCCAGCCAUGCCGCGUGAAGGAUUAAGGCCCUUUGGGUUGUAAACUUCUUUUAUAUGGGACGAAAAAAGGCGAUUCUUCGUCACUUGACGGUACCAUAUGAAUAAGCACCGGCUAACUCCGUGCCAGCAGCCGCGGUAAUACGGAGGGUGCAAGCGUUAUCCGGAUUCACUGGGUUUAAAGGGUGCGUAGGCGGGUAUGUAAGUCAGUGGUGAAAUCUCGAAGCUUAACUUCGAAACUGCCAUUGAUACUAUAUAUCUUGAAUAUUGUGGAGGUUUGCGGAAUAUGUCAUGUAGCGGUGAAAUGCUUAGAUAUGACAUAGAACACCUAUUGCGAAGGCAGCAGGCUACACAUAUAUUGACGCUGAGGCACGAAAGCGUGGGGAUCAAACAGGAUUAGAUACCCUGGUAGUCCACGCCCUAAACGAUGGAUACUCGACAUAUGCGAUACACUGUAUGUGUCUGAGCGAAAGCAUUAAGUAUCCCACCUGGGAAGUACGUCCG